GGGCAGGAGGUGGCAAACACACUCUAACUUCGAAUUAGAGAGAGAAAAUUUAUUCCCUGCCCC
rnacentral:tRNA from 1 species